UUCGAGAAGCUCUCUUCUCUCUCUUCUGUGCUCCCACACUUGCAUCUCCAUUCUUCGCUUGUCAUUGAACUCACCCAAACUAUCAAUCCAUCAUCCAAUGAAUUGUCCGUGAAGGGGAUCAAGGGGCAUCUCAGUCCUUUGCCGUCGGCUUGCAUCGGCGACAUAGUGAUGGCCACCGCGAAGAAAGAAAAGCCGAAUCUGAGGAAGAAGGAUGGCCGCCACGAUGGUUAAACCCGAUUGGAAGAAGCUCAACUAGAUCGACCUCAUCAGAAUCUAGUUUCAGUGACUCAAUUUUUUAUGGGUUUAUGCCUAUCAACUCUAAUCAAGAUCCCCAAUUUCAUCAAUGUGAAAUUGGAAUUCGUAGAGGUUGCUGAAGGCCUAACUUGUGGAACUCCUCAUAUGAUCAGUGCUACGAUUGAAGGCCUUGCUCUGUUGGCUUAUGAGUUUUCUGACCUUGUUUUCAACUCCAUUUAUAAUUUCUUUUAGAUCUGAACAAUUGUUCAUUGGGCCAAAGUAAACAUUAAGUUUUCAAGUCAAAACCAAUCUCCAUUGCGCUACUUUGAGUUAACUCGCUCUCUGUUUUUAUGUAUGCAAGGAUGGCUGUCACGAUGCACGCCAAGUUAAACGGGAAGAAUCUCAACCAGAUCGACCUCAUUAGAAUCUGGUUUCAGUGUUUCAAUAAAGUAUGGGUCUACGCCUAUCAUCUCUAAUCCAAGAUCUCAAAUUUCAUCACUGAGUAGAGGCUGCAACCAUGGCAGUGGCUAAACCCAAGCCGAUCAUCAUUGAACCCAUUCAUCCCCAGAAAGAUGAAAUAAAAUGAAUAAGAUCAGGAUAUCAAC